AUUACAAGUACUGCCACCGCCGAGUCAAAUAACGUUUCAGUUUGUUUCGUCCGGCGGGUCGCUCUUUCCUUCCUCCCGUAGGCCGCGGUGAGUGGGUCUCCCAGGGAUGAUUCCGUGUUAUACUCAAAAUUUUCUUCGACCCUUCCCCGUAUCCCAUGAAAAGUAAAUAAAUGAGCUCCCUUGUCCUCUUGGAUCCCUCCUCUUCUGACCCUCCCUGAACUCAACAAUGGCCGCGGAACCUGCCGAUUGGGGCUUGCCGCCGCUGGCCUGACCCGCCUGACCCGCAAGAUCCGUUCCGCGCGACCGGCCGGAGCUGCUGGCGGAGAGGCAGGUGGCUGUCCCCAUCGCUACUAGCUCUGCUCCCUGACCCGCAAGAUCCCCUCCACGCCGCCGGGCAUGGCAUACGAUGCGGGGAGCAGCAGCAGCAAGACAGCAAAGAGCAUGGGGCUGAGGUGAACCACCACUACCAUCCAACCACUUGCCUCUGGAGGACGGCUCCGCCUGAGGCUGCUGGCGGAGAGUCGAGGACGGCGGCCGAGACCGGGCGCUCAAGCUAUCCGGCGCAAAAGUGAAUUAACUUUCAUGGGCUAGCACGCAAGGGAUCUGUGAUUGCAAUAGGUCGAUAAGAUUUAUUUUUGCUGAUCCCCACUAUUGUUAGGAAAGCCAACGCAAAGAAUAACGGCUUAUGUACAGCAUCAGGUGGCCGAUUGCAGCAGAGGCACCCUUGGGAUGUGAGAAGUCGGGCGCACACACGAAUAGGCCACCGAGGAAUCAAUGUGAAGGGUGCAGUAACACACAUUUGUUGUAUGAGGCGACAUGCCAUGCAUCCCACUAGGAUCCAUGGCGUCGGUCGCUAGCCAGGGCGGCAUGCGGUGCAAGCCGAUGUGCCUCGAGUUGGGCGAAGCCUAAGUAUCGGCAAAGCGGAGGGGUCGACAGUGCCAACGACCAGGAAAAUAGAUGUGCCGACAAUCAAAGAAUAAAAUGAGUUGGAGACGUGCAUUCUUCAAAUGUUGACGGUUAGCCGGCAGGCACGUAAGUGGAACGAGUGAUGCCCCAUGGAAUUUUUCUUGCGGGUCGUCUUCCUCCAUCUUCACCACCAACGCCAUCAACGGGCGCUGGUGGGAGCUCGAAGACAAGGACGCCGCGGAAGGGGAGGAGGCACGGCGGUGGCGGUAGCGGUCCGACUCCCGCCGGCCGAAGGCGGGCGACGCUACCGCCGGCCGAAGGCGGGCGGCCAACACCGUGGUUACGGUAGCGGUAGCUACCGCAGAUGCGCGCCGCGUCGGAGAGGACCUUCUCCUCCUCCGUCUUCUCGACGGCUGCAGGAGGAGGAGGUUCCGCCGCGGCCUAUCUGUCUGCCCCCGCGCCCGUUCCCCUUCACCAUCGUUGCCAGCGGGAGUUGGGGAUGCUAGAUCUACGCGUGGGUGGAUCGAUUGCUCGCCGGCGGGGGAGCAAUUGCUCGUCGGCGGGAGGCGGAGAGGCGGAGGAGCGGAUGGGGUUUGGCCCCCAUCCGCCGCGCCGACCGCUAUAUAUGCGGGCUUUUCGGGGGUUUGGGUUGCGGCAUGGAUCUGUUGUCUAGGACAGACCCCCGAUGCGGGGUCUGGUCUCGGCCAAAAAACGGCCUAAACCCCAUAUCGGUUCCAAGUUGCGUUUCUAGGUCGAUAUGGGGGAUCUGCUAGAGAUGCUCUAAGCUCACCAAUAGUUAGAUGUGGAGUCCAUCGACAAGUAGAGAAAUACAACGAAGUUUUUUGUUAGUUGUUGUCAUGGUAUAUUUACCGGAACUUUUUUUUAGAUCUAUUUGCCACAGUUUUGUAUCAACACUACAAGUGAAGAGGCAACAACCUUGAAAAGAAGGAGCCCAA